rnacentral:rRNA from 1 species
GCUUACGGCCAUACCAGCCUGGGUACGCCCGAUCUCGUCUGAUCUCGGAAGCUAAGCAGGGUCGGGCCUGGUUAGUACUUGGAUGGGAGACCGCCUGGGUAUACCAGGUGCUGUAAGCA